rnacentral:lncRNA from 1 species
GGGAGCAGCCCAAGAAAUGGCAAAAAAAAAAAAAGACAAAAAUAAAUAAAUAAAUAAAUAAUCGUCAACUUAUAGUGAUCUACCUUCAAAUAAUAUCAUAGUACUAUAUAAAUAAUUUAGGAAUCAGACAACUAUAUUUUUCCACUACCUUUUCUGGGACACCAAUUAAAUACAUGCAAAAUCAUUUGAUACUGCCUGCAGAUCUGUAAUGCUCUGUUAUUUUUUUGUUUUGUUUUGUUUUGUUUAAAUUACUCAAAUGAAUUUAUCACAUCUGUAGUUGUAUAAUGAUAACAAUCUGAUUUCACAGGAUUCCCAUCCCACAGCCCAAGCACAUCCCCCCACCCGCCAAACUGUCUCCUCCAGAGACCAUAAGUUUUUCAAUGUCUGUGAGUCAGCAUCUGUUCUGCAAAGAAGUUCCGUCUGUCCUUUUUUUCAGAUUCCGCAUGGUAAUGAUGGUGUCUCAUUGUACGGCUGACUUUACUUAAUUGCUCUGUUAUUUUUUACCAGUCUUCAAAUUUGCGGAUUUUCUUUUCAAGUGACUAAUCUGCCUUAAAUCUAUUGAGUGAAUUUUCCAUUUCAGACACUGUAUUUUUAUCUCUAGAAGAUUUUUUAUAGUUUUUAUUUCUCUACUGCUUGUGUUCAUGUUCCGUUUAAAUUCUUAACAUAGUUACAAUAAGUAUUUUCAUUUUCUUAUCUGCCAAUGCCAUCAUUUCUCUCAUUUCUGGAUCUAUUUCUACUAGUGUGCUUCACAUUUUCCUACGUUUUCAUGUCAUAUAUUUUGGGUUGAAAGCUGAACAUCAUGAAUGUUAGGGUGCUGUGUCUGGGCUUUGUUUUCUCUGAAAGGUGUUAGGCUUUGCCCUGGCAGGCCGCUAAUUUACUUAUAGAUCAGCUUGAUUCUUUGGACACAUUGUUGCUGCUGUUAUUACUGUUACUAUUGUUAGGACAGGUCUAUGGCAGUCUUUUCUCAAGGCUUCAUUUGGUCUUACUCUUAAGGCUUGGGCUUUCUGGGAUCUCGAUCAAAUGCCCUGGGUGUCCCAUGAGGUCUCUUUAUACCCACCCGUUGGACAUCAAGUGCUCCCCACGCUGCUGAGCUGUGGUAGCUCUUCUUUCUCACUAAUUGCUCUUUGCUAAGCCUUGUGGAGUCUCACCUUAGAUGCACAGAUUUUUUUUAAAGCUUUUUUUCUAAAAAGUUCCCUAAACCUUAGUAUUCCAUCCUACAAAUUCUGGCAGCCUCAGCUUCCCCAAACUCUAAUCUCGAUUUCAGCUCAGCAAGACCAUUGCAUUUUGCUUGGUUUUCCCCUCUCUUUGCUGAGGCUUAGUAAAUAUUUCUAGGAAGACAGCAGAAUUAUUUAGAACUCGGCUUGCUUAUUUUCCACCUUUCGUGGCUCUCAUGUGCUGCUUGUUGUCUGACACCUAAAAUCAGCUGUUUCAUACAUGUGCCCAUUCAACGGGUUGUUUACUCAUGUUUGUGUCAGGAGGGCUGGUCCAUCAUGACCUGAAGCAGACGUUCAUCCACGUAGAAAGACAAAAAAAUGACCCAUCAUGACAUUAAGACAACUCAACCCUCACAACUAGUAACAAUCAAUUAAUAAGGGGGACCUGGGACUAAAUACACUGAGUGGUUAUGUUAUGAGUAAUUCCCAGUAUAUCUGCUGCAUCCCACCCUAUCCUCUCCCAUUCGAGGAGAGAGAUCAGAAUGCCAGUGAGAAGGGUGAUGUGACAGUAUGAAUAAACAGGACUUCAUUUUUUACUCUACUCCUAGCUCACAAAUAAGCACAAAACAUCAGCGUGUACAAAUAGAGCAUUAAGAAUGACCACCACGACACUUUGCUGCACAGCAGAAAAUGGCAAACCAUUGUAAAUCAACUACACAUUAAUUUAAAAAAAUUAAUUAAAAAAGAACAAACUCAAGGACUUGGAGAACAGACUUGCGGUUGCCAAGGGGCUGGGGGAGGGAGUGGGAUGGACUGGGGGUUUGGGAUUAUAGAUGCAAACUAUUGGAUGGAUGAGCAAUCAGAUCCUGCUGUAGAGCACAGGGAAUUCUAUCUAGUCAUUGCAAUGGAACAUGAUGGAGGAUAAUGUGAGAAAAAGAAUGUGUGUGUGUGCGCCUGUGUAUGAUGGGGCACUUUCCCACACAGCAGAAAAGAGAAUAUGACAGAAUAUUUUGCAUCAACUAUAAAAGAAAAAAUAAAAAUCUUCAAAUAAAAUGAUCACCAAGCCAUGAGAAUUGGACAGAGCCUCAUUUUACACAAAGGAAAACUGGGCUAAGGCAGGAAACACAAGACAAACAUGAUGCUCUCACUGAAUUUCGGAUCUUUACGUUUGGGUCUAAGAUUAAUUAAGCUCCUAGUCAUGGGCUUAUUGCCACCUUUAGAAAUGCUCAGUGUCGAUCGGAAAUGAAAUAAAAGAUGAAGUUUGACAGCUUUAAAAAAAAAUGAUGACCAUUCAUUUAAAGGUAAAAACUCAGUUCUAGAGCUUAGGAUACGUGACUCUCAGAAUACGGCUUCUGGCUUCUGGCAAGUCUUGAGCCGUAGCUCCCUCGGGUCUGUCUCCCCCGAGAGACCUUCCAGCCUCAGAGAACCUCACGUCAUUCCCAGAGGCAUCACAUCUUUGUUCAGCUCCGCACCUUCACUUCUGUGGCUUCCCUGCUCCUCCCUCUGGGGCGUCUAAUCCUUAUCCUGCUUUCAAGGCCCCCAACCUUGAUUUAAUAAUUAAGCUAAUGUUAAAAGAUUUACUGAGUGCUUUCUAUGUGUCAGGUACUCUUAAAACUCUUUACAUGUAUUAACCGAUUCAAAACGUAGAAUAACAUUUUACGCUAACUUUAAAGGUAAGGAAAUUAAAGCUUAGAGAAUCGAAUGCUUGCUUAAGGUCACACGGCUAGUAAGAAGGAAGCAGGGAUAGGAAUCCGGAUCUGUAUGAGUCCAGAGCUUGUGCUUUUAACCAGAACACCUGUCAUUCUUAAAUUUGACACAUUUUAGAAUUACCUGGGGAAUUUUCAAAAAUCUCCAUUCCCAUUAAAUAAGAAUUUCUGUGACUCAGACUUCAGCCUCUCUUAAAAGUAACACCAGUGUGAAGUAAUAUCCUGCAAGUGACACCAAGGUGAAGACAAAUUUGAGAAGCCAUGUCCCACCCCACAAUUUUUUAUCAAACGAAUCUGUACUGGUCAGCGAGGACUCAAGAACAUAGCCAAAAUCAAGGUCAGGAGACUGGAAUUUAGCAUUUACCAAAUGAGUACUGCCUGUACCACGUGGAAGGCUGUGGGGGAGGUAGAAAUCCAUUGCUCAGAGCAGUCACGAACCCAAGCACCAGGCCACUGUUGAGUAACUGAAUAUCAAAUCUCCACUAUUAAAGCGAUAAUAAAAUAUGCCUGGCUUGUUACUGUGGUUGGCUGAUUCUGCCUAAGUUACUGUUCCCUAGGCAUUGCAGGAUACCAUAAAGUAAAUAAGAAACAUUACAAAAUUGCUCUGUAAAUAUAAGUACAGAAUAGAAUACUGCUACAUUGUUAAGUACAUGCACUGCACACUAUUAAUAAUCUUUGAGGGGGAAAAAAGUGGAAUCUGGGCUCAUGUGUGUGUCAAAGAAAUUUAUAUUCACCUAUCCACAAUGACUGAGGAAUAUAGCAUUUAUGUAUCAGCUGAGAACAUGACUCUUUCAAAUCUGGUGUCCUGGCUGCCUCCCAGAACAGCCUGUGCCCGGUGAUUCCAUAGAACCCCAACACGCAACCACGUCCACCCACCUCCCUCACACACUCGUUGUGUUUCUAGUGAUUCUGCUUAGAUUAGAAUUCUUCCAGGUCCCAGUGGGAAAUCGGCUUCAGGAUUAGAAGCGAUGAAAUUUGAUUCACGCUCUAAAUGGGUUUGUACAUUUACAAAUACUCAUGUGUCUACACUGCCCAUGUUUAUCCCCUGAUCAAAUCCUGACAUGCACAGAUUUACUUAGUAUCACUAGGCUUCGACCAAGAUGACACUUUUAACAUCACAAGAAAUGAGACACUUUUCCUAGAGAGUAAAACUGCUUUUGCAGAACUUAAGUAUUCCUCAAUCCUUGUUUUGUUUUCUGAAAUAAAUUAAAUAUAUGUGUGUGUGUACACUUCAUUAAUAUUCAGUUUACAUCCUCAUCUUCCAGUUGGGAGAUGGAUCUGUCAGGAAAGAGUGGAACAUGAUGCGGUAACAAAGAAUCCCCCAAAUAACGGCGUGUUAAGACAAUGGUGGUUGACAUCUCAGAUAUGCCAUCACCCACUGCCAUCAGCCCUGCAGGCUGUAGGUCCGAGCUGAUGGAGGCAUACUUGGAAGGUUCUGGUAACCAUCGAAAGGAAAGAGAGAGCACAGUUAACCACUCCCUGCCUCUUUAAGCUGUUUUCACCCAGAAAUCAUUUCUGUUUACAUACCUUUGGACAAAGGGAGCAAGAAAAUACAACUUGCCGUGUGUCUAAAAAGAAAACCAGGAAACUCUGGUAAACAGAACUGAUGACCAGGACAUCUGUCCUUCUGGUUAUCAAACACUUGGCUCCUUCUCAGUCUUGCACCCGAAACACAUCUCCCCCACCCAGGAGAAGAGACUCCAAGUGUCCGCAGGACUACAGCAUCAAACUCAAAGCCCAGGACCUCGGGGUAAGGCACAGCGGUCCCCUCAUCAUUCAUCAUCACUCUGCCCAGGAAAGGAAAAGCAAAGAGCACACAGGAGUCACUUGUCCAUGAUCAAUACUCUUUGAUCAGCCCGACUGCUUCCUUGUUAACAGUUCACUGUUGUCCUUGGGUUUGUCUUCUUUAAGUUUCUUCCUCUUUAUUAUACUCUUUGGCCACAUAUAAAUGGGCAUCGGGGGAGUCCCCAUUGUGGCUCCGUGGUAACGAACCCAACUAGUAUCCAUGAGGACUUGGGUUCCAUCCCUACCCUUGAUCAGUGGGUUAAGGAUCCGGCAUUGCCGUGAGCUUUGGUGUAGGUCGAAGAUGCGGCUCGGAUCCUGCGUUGCUGUGGCUGUGGUGUAGGCCAGCUGCAACAGCUCCGAUUAGAUCCCUAGCCUGGGAACCUCCAUGUGCUUCAGGUGCAGCCCUAAAAAAAAGCCAAAAAAAAAAAAAAAAAAAAAUGGGCAUCAGGGAAUAUGCCCUUCUUCGGGCCUGAGCAGAGUUUUCAACCCACUCCUGACCUUAGACAGCUAUAAUUCCAAAAGCCAUUUAAAUCUUGAGCUUUUCUAGGCUUGGGAUUUCUUUAGCAGUACAAGAUUUUUUAAAAAACUUUAAUUCCAGUCACAUUCACGCUCUGAUAACUAUACCUAUAGCUCUUUCCCAGGGAGAAUUCUUAGAUUUGCUCUGCUGUUUUUGCUUUAUCAUCACCCCAUCUCUUUCUUGUCUUCAUUUCUGGUCCCACAGCUUCAACCUCUUUUCUUCGGGCCAUUUCUGUCCAAUUGCAAGUACUUUCUGGAUGUAAACUCUAUCCAUCCAGAAGUUUUAACAAGACGUUAUGUUGCAACAACUAUAAAAAUUUCUCAUUCUCACGUUUGACUGUAUGGAUUGAAAAGCAGUCAUGCAAGUCCCUGAGUUUUUGAAAUCUUUCUAUUCUUUUUUAUUCCUGCUUGUAAAUAUACAACAUCUUUAAGAAAAAAAAAAAGAGAGAGAGAAUAAAUUAGCUUUUCUUGUAAUGCCUUGCCAAACACCCUCAAUAGCAGCCAACCCAUGCUCGCUGGCCCCACGUAUUUUAGGCUAUUCAUUAGAGCAGCACCCAAAAUUAUAGGCACCAGUUCUUAUGCCAGUCAGAGUAGACUGGGUUGUGCAAAAGUCAAAAACAACUUCAAAUCUCAGUGGUUGAAAAAGGAGUCGGAGGCGGGGAGGAAGAAUAGGAGCUAUUUCUGUUCACGUGCCUUAAGCACCGCAGGCCGUCAGCGGUAUCUGUUCGCUGCUGUCAUUCAGGGUCCCAAACACUGUCUCAAAAACAGCUGGUCAUCCCUCCAGGCGUAAAGACAGACUGCGCCACACCAGCUCUGAGAGAAGGACCCAGAAGCACAGCCGCCAAAGCAAGUCUUGAGGCCACACCCACCUCCAAGGAAGUUGGAAACACAACCCUCACGUGUGGGCCCAGAAGGAAACCUGGACCCACUGAGUGGACAACACGCGUUAUCACAGAGGAGGGUUGAGAGAAGCUGAGGUAGGGACUUGAUAAGUGACUGAAACAAAGACACCUCAGCACAUCAAAGGAAGAAAUGCCCUUCCCACCAUCAACUUCUACUCGGAGAGUUCCUAGACUACAGACACCAAAACCAAAAUAAAAUGUAAAGGAACAGUCUCAACAGCGUCCGCUCAGACGGAAAACAUCGCAUCACUACUGCCUGUGAGAAAAACAUUUCCCCAUCUCCUCUACUUAGCAGAGGAGAGGCCUUAAUCUGGAAGGCUUCUCCUAGAUGAAAUAAUUUAGAGCUUAGAUUUUCACCCCUUACACGACUUCUGAAUGUCCUCUCUCC